AAGAAAUUAGUUAAUAAUAUAACAUAUAUUUGUCAAAUAUAAAUUAUCUUUUUUAAAGAUAUUUCUUU
rnacentral:tRNA from 1 species